rnacentral:lncRNA from 1 species
ACCAUUUUCAAACUUCAUACCCAGUAACCAUACACGCAUAUAAACACAGCCCCCUACAACUUCCAGCAUCUUCGUCUAUUACAUAUACACGACCAAACUCCCAGCAACCAACCACUGCAAUCCUCCACUGAAAUCAACUCUCAACAUCACCUUCUUCAAUGCCAUAUACACAACCUGUCAUAACACAAACCCAGUAACCAUACAUGCACAUACACACAAUCCACUUCAAACAGCAACUGAAAUCAACACUCAACCACAUUCUACCCGCUAUUCUACAGUUACCGUCCAGGCGUUCAGCCAUAAGCCAACUACCACAACACCCACUCACAAAAUCACAGCCCACUAUUCCGGCCACACCAGAUUCACGACCGGUAGCAGUAACAGUGACUGUCGGCAACAUCCCCAAAUCGCGACCCUUAAAUUUACCAAGACAGUAAACCAGAAAUUGAACCAAAC